CGAACAACUAAAUUGCUGUUUUGUUGUACCAUUAAAUGCCGCAACCUAUUUGCGAAAACGCCUUUCCUUUGAGGCUAAGAAGUAUAUUGUACGAUUCUCAUUAGCGGUAGCUUUGAGCAUUUUGUAUAAUGCAAAUAUGCCGAACACCGAGAGCGCAUUAAAAACUGUGUGAAAAAUAUGUAUGGAGCAAUGCAAACAAGACGCUGCUGUAAAGUUCAAUGAAAAGCGUGAUAUGAGAAAGCAACUAUUAAAUUAAUCAACGAUUUCACCCAAACAGUAACAGCCAAAACCAUAUAGAAUGCAUUGGAGAAAUUAUGCACGAGAAUAUAAUCAACUACAAAGAAAGAAUUUUUUGUUUUGUUUAGUAGUUGUUAGUCGUGAUUAAGCAAAAUGGAAACCAACAAAUUUUUAACAAAUUAAAUAAAUUAAAUAUUUCGACUUCAAUAGCAAAAAAUAGCACUCUUUAUUUAUCUUUGACACUAUUUC